CACUUCACUGUCUUCUCAGCUAACAAAAAAAAAAACAUCUUUUAAAAAGCGCGAAAAAUCAAAUCAAAUUAAAAUCAAACUCCAUCUUCUUCUACUGUAACUUAGGGUUACAAUUUCAUUCAUCUGAAAACAAACUAAAAUGGCAAACUCUACGAAGUCCAUCGAUCCUUCACUCUGGUGGGACCCCUUCACCUCCAUUCUCACCGACCUCGAAAACGCGCCUCUUACUUCUCAACUCCAUCCCUCCAUUGAGAAGAAGCUGAAGGAGAAUCACGGCUGGUUCGUGGACACAGUUUCUUUAUUUAAGAAGCCAAAUGCACAAUCAAGAGAGGCGUUGAAUUCGAAACAAGUCAAAAUCGGUUCUCAUGAGUUGAUUAUUAAGCCUCAAUUCAAAGAUAAAGCUCUGCAAAUUAGUUCUUAUUUGUGUUUAGAUGAGUUACAGUCUUACAUUCUCGUGGAACGGUCUCUCGAGAUUAAUGGACUAGCAGUUGAUUCUGUAGUGGAAGAAUAUCUUCAUGUGGUAUUGCUUCAUUACUACAUUGAGCGACAGUGCUUGCUGAAGUGUACCAGGCAGAUUCUCAUGCAUGCUUUAUAUGUUGGAAUUAGCUCAGGAGGAGAAAAUGUCAUCAGGGAUGAGGCAAUGAAGCUGAUUUCCGAUGGACUGGAGUGCGCAUUAAUAUCUGUUCUGCAGGAUCUUUUAUCCUCGAGUCCUUCUGAGAAUAUGGAUGUUGAUCUUUUUACUUUGUGGGCUGAGGGGAUACUAAUCGAAGAUAAUUUGGUUUUGGACAUUCUCUUCCUUAUAUAUUAUGAGUCACUUUGUACUUGCAAUGGUGAAACAUGGAAAAAGUUAUGUUCACUUUACAAGGGGAUUUUGUUUGGGUCGUACAACUUUGGAAAAUUGGCAAUAUCAAAUGAAGCCCUGAAGUCUUCUUCUCAAGCCAAAGUCCAGUUGCUACUUGUCCUUAUGGAAACCUUGAACUUGGAAAAUCUUCUCCGCUUGGUCCAUGAUGAAACCCCUUUCAGGUCGGGUGCUUCUGUGUUUUCUUUGGCUGAUAUUCAACAGAUGGAUGUGUUGGUAUCUAGUUUGAAUGCCUUUGAAAUGGAAGAAGCUGGCCCACUUAUUCUUACUUGGGCCGUAUGUCUCUGUCUAAUUACAUCACUUCCUAGAGCAGAAGAAAUUAAUGUGUUAAUGGAGAUUGAUCAUGUUGGCUAUCUUCGACAAGCAUUUGAAAGUGCAUCACUGAAUUAUUUUGUUGACAUUCUUGAUAGUGACUUGCUAAAGGAGUCGGAUGGGCCUGUUGCCGGUUAUCGAAGUGUUUUAAGAACUUUUGUUUCAGCAUUUAUUGCAUCUUAUGAGAUUAAUCUUCAGUCAGAAGAUAGUAACCUUAAUCUCAUAUUGGACAUCAUAUGCAAAAUUUACAGGGGGGAGGAAUCACUUUGUAAUCAGUUUUGGGACAAGGGAAGUUUCAUUGAUGGACCUAUUCGGUGUCUUCUGUGCAGCUUAGAGGGUGAAUUUCCCUUCCGGAGUGCAGAACUUGUCCGCCUUUUAUCAUCUCUCUGCGAGGGGAGAUGGCCCACGGAAUGUGUGUUUAAUUUUCUUGAUAAAUCUGUCGGUAUUUCGUCAUUGUUUGAAAUUACUAGUGAAUCCUUGGUGGACAGCGCCUUACAAAUUGUUGAAACUAACCUCCCAUUGCAUGUUCCUGGGGUGGAAGGUUUGUUUGUUCCCAGUAAAACUCGUGGACAUGUCCUGAAAGUUAUUGGUGGGAAUACUGCUCUUGUACGUUGGGAGCAUAAGCAAUCUGGAUUGCUCAUCCUACUUCUGCAACUGGCCCAAGAGCUGCACUUAGAGAGCACUGAAUAUGUUUUUCUCACUCUUGACCUUCUUUGUCGAAUGGUGUCCUUUAGCACGGCUGUAACUUUUUCGCUAAUGGACCUUGGCAACUCAUAUUAUUUUCAAGAUGCUGGAAUGACUCAACAGAUGGAAAGGGACUCAUGGGUGGUUGAGAUUAUUUGUGCAGUCAUAAAAAAAUCAUCUCUUAGUUCUUCUGGUGCUACAAUCAUGUCUAUGGGUGUCAGUACUUUGGCAAAGAUGUUGAAGUGUGCUCCAACUCAUGUUGCUGCUGUUGCUCUGAGAUCAAAUGUAUUUGAGAUGAAUUUAAAGACGAGUGUGUACGAUGUUGGCUAUGAUGGCUUAUCAAGUGGGUCAUGGUUGGUAUCCGGGAAACUGGCAAAGAUGCUCUUAAUCGAUGCUGAGCUGAAUGACAAUGAGAACCCAUUAGCAAUUUCAGUGCUGGAGUUUACCAUGCAGCUGGUGGAGACAAGAUUGAAUAAUGAUCUUGUUCUAGCUUUAGCUGUUUUCUCGUUGCAGUUUAUUUUAAUCAAUCAUGAGUACUGGAAAUACAGGGUGAAACAUGUUAGAUGGAAAGUAACAUUGAAGGUGUUGGACGUGAUGAAGACAUGUAUAAUGUCUAUAUCAUUCUCUGAAAAAUUGGGUGUGACCAUUCGUGAUAUAUUACUUUGCGAUUCUUCUAUCCAUAGUGUAAUCUUCCGACUCAUCUGUACAACUAAACGUACUUUAGAGAACCUUUAUGUCAGCCGUCUUGUUGAAAUAAUUGAAAUAGAGGAGUUUCAGCAUGCUAUAAGUUCUGCUUUGGAUGUUCUGUGCAUCAUGCUCUCCAAAUUUUCUGAGGAUAUCUCACGUGGUCUUCCAGUCUUUCUCCAAGCAGUGCUGUCAUCUUCAAUUAAACCAAUUCCUGUUGUUGCAGCUGUUAUAUCUUUGAUAUCAUUUACUCGAAAUCCUGCAAUACAGGUAGGGGCUGCUAAGGCAUUAUCAACAUUGUUGAUUAUGGCAGAUUAUUUACAACCAUAUAUGUCUAGCAAUCUGUGUCUCGGUCUUGAUGACGAGCAGAUUGCAGAUUUAAGGCAUUCUGUGAAAAGUACCUUAUUUGAGUGUGGUGACUGGAAUGGAGAUCUAUUCAUUGCUAUUGUCAAUCUGCUUACCUCUGCAGCACGUCACCAGCCUCCUUUUCUUGUUGCGGUUGUAGCUUUGAAAGCUGACACUGAAUUCCAAUCGACUAAUGCCGGUGACACAAAGCAGUCAAGUAGUGAAACUUCUAAUGCCCCCCUGCCUUCUCAUAAAUCAAGUCUUCUUGAUGAAAUUAUGCGAUAUAUAGAAAAAGCUAGUGAUUUUAUUAACAGCAAUCCCCGUGCACUGCUAGUUGUGCUUGAUUUUCUGAAGGCAUUGUGGCAAGGGGCUGUUCACUAUAUAAAUAUUUUGGAGUGUUUAAGGAAUUCUAAAGUGUUCUGGAAGCAUCUUACCGGCUGUAUUUCGUUAGUUACUAGCUCAAAAACUUCUAUGCUUGAAAAUUUGAGCACAGAUGAGGCUCAACUCUUAGCGUACAAGAACUGUUGUCAAUCUGUCAUAUUGGAAAUAAUGGCAUAUGAGAUUUUUCUGGAGAAAAAGUUAUUACAUGUCGAGCCUCUAAUAAAAGAAGCCACUCAGCCUAAGAACAGUACAGGAAAUUUAAAAUCUGCAAGUGAUUGUGAGUUGAAGGAUAUCUUGUCAAGUUGGUGUGACAUGUCUAUUCUGGGAAAUUUAGUCAAAUCAUGUACUUCUUGCGAAUAUGACAAUGAAAUUUCUUAUCGUGCGAAGGUUGCUACCAGCUUGUUUCUUGUCCAUGUGAUGGGGAAAUUAGAUUCUGGCAAUGCUGGAAGUUUGUCUUUAUCAUUACUUGAGAAGAUCCAGGUCACUUUAAAAAAUCUAAUCUGCCAGCCUGCCUUUUCUGAACUGUUGGCUCAAUACUCGCAACGGGGUUACAGUGAAGGAAGAGAACUAAAAAGUCUGAUUCUUAAUGAUCUCUAUUAUCAUUUACAAGGGGAACUUGAAGGCCGUAAAAUGGGUCCUGGGCCGUUCAGAGAACUCUUCCUGUAUUUAGUUGAAUCAAAAUGUUUGCACUAUCAACAUAGGUACAAGGAUGAUGGUUUUUCAGAUGUUAAAAAUAUCUACUUGUAUGAUCUCAUUCGGAUACGAAUAGAGUUGGGACUUGAUAUGUGGGAUUAUACUGGAUGGAAAGAAUACAAAGCAGUUGCAGAAACUAUGCUAGAUUACAUGCAGCAAGUGAAUUCAAUGGUUAUGCUUUCAAAUUCAAAGCUCUCUAUACUGAAAGCAUUGAUUACUGUCUUGACCACAUAUGAAGACAAUUUGCUGGAGAAAGAGGCUACUACCAAGGGCAAAAUUUCCUAUCAACUCUGUGUGUCAUGCAUCGACCAUGUAUGUCAAAGUUUCCAUGUCAAGGUAGAAUCGACAACAAUUCUUGAUGCAUCUAAAGAGACUCUUGAUUACCUUUUGGCACAAGCAGAAUUACUUCUCCAUCUUGUAAGAUCAGUUGAAGGAAGCUUGCCUUUACCUACUCUUGCACUUGUCUUGAGAACCUCAGGUUCUGGCCUUAAAGUGCUGACUGACUUCAGGUCUUCCAUUAGUGGAGUUGAUAAAGCAAUAAAGGUUUUGCUCAUGCUGCUUCUCUUUGCAUUGGAGUUUAGUAAAACUUCAGAUAAGGAGUCUGAAGGUUUUGCAGAGAUUUCAAAUGUCUGCAUUAGGCUAUUGCCCACACUUUGUGAAUCUUCUACUGCCAAACAUUGUGGUCUGUCCUUGACAGCUGUGGACCUAAUACUUAGAAUUUUUUUGACACCAGAGACGUGGUUCCCUAUCAUACAGAAGCAUCUCCAAUUGCAGCAUGUUAUUCUGAAGCUUCAAGAAGAAAUUUCUCCUUCAUCCAUUGCAAUAAAAUUGAAGUUCCUCUUAACUCUGGCAUGUCUAAGAGAAGGUGCUGAAAUGCUCCUUGGUGCUGGUUUUCUCUCAUCUCUUCAGUUAUUAUUUGGCAAUCUAGUCAAUGAUACACCUUCCACAAUAAGUCUUUGCAACAAUGGUUUGCCAAGGUCAUCUGAAGAAGAUGACAAACCUCAAAACAUUUGGGGUCUUGGCUUGUCUGUAGUCACAGCAAUGGUUUGUUCUUUGAAAGACAGUUCUUGUGCUCAUGUCGUGGAGAAUGUAAUACCAUACUUAUUUUCUGAGAAAGCACAUGUGGUCUCUUAUUAUCUUGAAGCACCUGACUUUCCAUCUGACAACCAUGAUAAAAAAAGAGCACGAGCGCAAAGGACUGAAACGUCUUUGAAUGCUCUGAAGGAAACAGGGCAUACUCUCAUGUUGAUUUGCUCUCUAGCAAAACACAGAAAUAUCUGGAUUAAAGCCAUGAAAGAAGUGGAUUCCCAGUUGAGGGAGAAAAGUAUCCAUCUGUUAGCCUUUGUUAGCCAAGGAAUGCAUCGUUUUGGUGAAUCCACCGGCAGAAUGGCCCCUCUCUUAUAUGGUCCAAGCUGCAAAGAGGAACUCGAGUGGAUUGAGAAACCAUCAUUUGUAAACAGCAGGAAUGGAUGGUUUGCACUUUCACCUAUUUGUUGUGCAUCAAAGGCCAAGCCUUCGAAUGUCUCAGCCACCAGUACUGCUCUUGUGAUCAAGAGUCGAUCAAUUGAAGCAGCUAGUCUUGUUUCGCCAACAUAUUUCUCAGACUUGGUUGCCUUGCAGAUCUAUAGAAUCGCAUUUCUACUUUUGAAAUUUCUCUGUUUAGAAGCAGAGGGCUUUGUUAAAAGGUCAGAGCAAGUUGGAUUUAUCGAUCUUGCUCAUAUUCCCGAGCUUCCAAUGCCUGAGAUAUUACAUGGUUUGCAGGAUCAAGCAAUUGCUGUUGUAUCUGAACUAUGUAAUGCAAACAAAUUGAAGCAAAUUCCUCCUGAAAUUCAGGACAUCUGUCUGAUGCUGUUUCAAAUAAUGGAGAUGGCAUUAUAUCUAGAGCUUUGUGUUCUGCAGAUAUGUGGCAUAAGAUCUGUAUUAGGGCGUGUGGAAGAUUUUUCAAAAUUAGUCAAAAUGUUGUUAAAAGCAAUGGAGGGCCAGGCUUUCCUGAAAGCAUCUAUAGAAUCCUUGAAACAGAUAAUAUCACAUGUCUAUCCUGGAUUAUUACAAACUGAAGGUUUUGUGUGAUUAUUUAGCGGACAUAGGUGAACUGCGGUUAGGAUUAGAAGAGAAUGAAAAUGUUGUAGGCAGAGAUGAAUGAUAUUUUGAUCCGCUUUAAGAGCCGGCACUUCCGGAAGCAUGUGAGGUAUGAGGAAAGACGACCAGAUAUAGCUUGAGCCCGAGAGGAGAUGAGAUAGAUGAAUGUUACUUUCUCUCGUAUGAAGAAUGAAUCCUCUCUAAUUCCAAUAGGAUUAUUUUUAUGCUCCUCCAAAGAGCUAAUGAGCUUGGGAGAUUACUGUACGAAUAUUAGAAAUUCUCCAUUCGAGAUUGCUUUCCUAUAGCUCAUGAGUGUGACACUUAUUUUCCAAGCGAGCUUGUUCUGUUGGUGUGGUAAUUGGACCUAGACGAGCUUAUGCAAUCGAGCCCUCCAAUGAUGGUAGUUGUCACGUUGUAAGUCCAUCGACUUAUUUUUUAUCUUUUUUUCGAAGAGGAGAAAAAGAGAAAAGUAAUUUCAUAAGUAAAUGAGUUUUUUUUCUUUUCGAAAAAUGUAUUAACAAGAAAUAAAGGUGGCAGUCAAUUUUUUAGGGAGAAUAUGACCUCUUAUAGA